rnacentral:rRNA from 1 species
CUUGCUUCUCUUGAGAGCGGCGGACGGGUGAGUAAUGCCUAGGAAUCUGCCUGGUAGUGGGGGAUAACGUCCGGAAACGGACGCUAAUACCGCAUACGUCCUACGGGAGAAAGCAGGGGACCUUCGGGCCUUGCGCUAUCAGAUGAGCCUAGGUCGGAUUAGCUAGUUGGUGGGGUAAUGGCUCACCAAGGCGACGAUCCGUAACUGGUCUGAGAGGAUGAUCAGUCACACUGGAACUGAGACACGGUCCAGACUCCUACGGGAGGCAGCAGUGGGGAAUAUUGGACAAUGGGCGAAAGCCUGAUCCAGCCAUGCCGCGUGUGUGAAGAAGGUCUUCGGAUUGUAAAGCACUUUAAGUUGGGAGGAAGGGCAGUAAAUUAAUACUUUGCUGUUUUGACGUUACCGACAGAAUAAGCACCGGCUAACUCUGUGCCAGCAGCCGCGGUAAUACAGAGGGUGCAAGCGUUAAUCGGAAUUACUGGGCGUAAAGCGCGCGUAGGUGGUUCGUUAAGUUGGAUGUGAAAUCCCCGGGCUCAACCUGGGAACUGCAUUCAAAACUGACGAGCUAGAGUAUGGUAGAGGGUGGUGGAAUUUCCUGUGUAGCGGUGAAAUGCGUAGAUAUAGGAAGGAACACCAGUGGCGAAGGCGACCACCUGGACUGAUACUGACACUGAGGUGCGAAAGCGUGGGGAGCAAACAGGAUUAGAUACCC